CUCUAAAAAAAAAAAGGUUCCUUGAGGUUCUAUAUAGAACCGUGGGGUUCUAUACUUGGCCAAUAGAACCUUUUACCAAAAAACGGGUUCCAUAUAGAACCCUUGGAAGGCAAAGAACCAUUUUUAUUAAAAUGGUUCUAUAAUUCACGUUUUGUGACUGAAGUGUAAACUAAAGAUUACACAAUAAUUGCAGACCUACACAACUCAUUUACAAACCUACACAACUCAUUCACAAACCUUUUUGUGUCAAUAGGUUGUGGUCAAAUAAAGAGAGAGUCAACAAAUAGGCUACUAAUAUUUAGUGUACACUGUAAAAAAUCCAACUAAUGAAAUGUUGGACGGGCAAAAAUAUAUAAGUUAAACCAAUUUUUUGUUUGAGCUAGUUGAGAAGAUCUGUGUUUAAAAUAUUAAAUGAAUGGUUAUUUUCAAAUCCAGUCAAAAUUCAGAAUGGCUAGUGUUGACUGAACUAAUUAAGACAAAUCAGGUAAGUAUGUGGACUUAUGACAGCUAUGUUUCCUGACAACAAAAUGCUCAUAAUAUUACUGUUAUUUGGUCACAAAAUGUAAUUGUAAGAGUUGUUCAGGCGUGAAUGUAUGUGCUUAAAGUUUAAAUAUGCGGUCGGUUAAUAAAGAUAGCGUCUAUUUAAAAAUGUGCUCGGACACUUUCGGACGUAGAUGAGCUCCAUAUGAGCUCCAGAAAAUCACAGACACUUAAACGCUCACACCCCGCCCAGCGCAGCCUCUCCUCGGCAAGCCCAUCAGACUGCUGGCUCUGAUAUCUCUGUGGCGUUUAAACAUGUGAUUUAAUUCAUUUUGAUUUCUCAUACUUAACAAUGAAAGGGUUAUUAUGUUUUAAAUCAUAUUUUAGGAUUGCACUUAAUUGAUAUUGCUGUUGAGUGAUGUUUCAUAUCUUUUACAUUUGUUAUAACCGGACUGCAUGCGAAUUUGAACUUCAGAGCUGAGGAAGCGGGUGGAGAAAUAGUCCCAAUAUCAUAACAAUCUUAAAUAAAACUUCUAAAUAUGCCCGUGUGUGUACCCGUGUGCGCGCGCGUGCGCGCGACCCGCUCACGCGCGCGUGUGUAUGUACAGUAUGUGCGUGAGUUUUUAAUUUAAAAUGUCUUAACUUAACUCGGAAGGAUCUGAAUGACAGGUCAUUUCAUCUGAGAUCAUUCCGCAUGUAACAGCCGGAAUCACUCACUGUUUCCCACAACGACACGAGUCAUCAGCCGUUUCCUCAAGGUCACGUCAGAGGGGUGGUGAUGUGGAGAGGCAGACUAGACCACCACGAUACGCGAAGAUGAGCCUCGAGGCUUGACAGUUAUUUUUUCAAACUGAGGAGUUCGGACUCCGGACCGUCAUUUCUGCUUGUUUGUACCCUGAGGUAAGUAAACUUUCUACAUUUUUGAAACGAUAUUACUGAAAUAUUUAGUAUAAUUAGUUAAUAUUUAUUUUGUUAGAGUAGGUCUUGUGCUAAAUAGUGAUACUAGAAGCUACAUUUAUAAUAUUUACCUCAGUUAAAAAAUACUGCUGGUAACGUUAAAGCACUGACGGGCUUCGUCAACCGUCAGUUAUAAAAGCUCAUUUGUUCCUGGUUUUAAUGAAUUACGUUACAGUCCUGCUUUAUUUCUUUGUCAUUUUCAAUUAAAUUGCCAAGCACAAUAAGACAGCUGUGUUGUAAGGAGACGAAAUUCGAGACAGGGGUGUUAUUUCAAUGAAGCGCGUGGUCAAAGGAACCGGGUGGAAGACGGUGGAAGGGAAAUUAUAUGUAAAUGUUUGUCGCAGUUUUACACAUAUUCCGUGAGUAUUUUUCGCUUGUUCACGAGUGUUUUAUCAGGGUUGGAGCUAAACCUUGAAGGAAAGUGGAAACUGCUGGCCACAGUUAAGAACUUUCUGCUGGUCUGUAUUAUAAAUGCACGACUGCAGUGCAGCGUUUGUAUCCGCAAGUCUAGAUAUGCAUGUUUUCUGUGAUGCACACAAUUAAUUAAUGUGAUGGUAGCUGUUAAGACACUUACAUUUAACAUUCAAAUGUUUUAAAAACCAAACGUGUUCAGGUUUUUAUGUGUAUUUGGUUUGUGAAGUGUAAUUUUUUUUCCUCUCCCUCACAGAUAACCAUGGUUAAUAAAUGGUCAGACACGUCACUGGCUUUAAAAUAUAAACCCCAUUGAUCCAAAAAGGUAAGGUGCUUAAAAGGACCUUGUAAGACUUCGUCACUAAUGUUCAUUAAAGAGAAAAUAAAAAGAAAUCUGUGUUUUGUAGCUUUAAUGAUAAUUCUUACUGUAUGUAUUUCAUUUAGAAUUUAGCAUUAAAGACUGUAAAGUGUUUGAGGAUUUAAUUUAAAUUCUGUAUAUUUCACACUAUUUUUUUAUUGAACAUUGUGUUUUGAAAAAUACAUCACUAGUCAAUUGCAACCUCAAGUUAAUGUAGACUUUAAGGAACUUGUUUGUCUGAAAGUGGAUAUAUAAAGAUUUUUUGUUUUAAGAUGCUGCAUGGAAUGACAAUGUGGUUUGGAACAGACUUGGUGAAGAACAUGGAAACAUCUCUUAAUAAAAUGGCCCCAAACAUCAUCAGGAGUGCAAAAGAAGGAAGUAAAAACAUCUCUACGCCAAUCUCAUUGGAGAGGAAACCACAGAAGGAACCCAAAGGUCCCACACCAACCAUAGUGUUCAACGGCUCUCCUGAUCUUUUCAAAUCUGAAAGUAUCAACU